CUUGUGACGGCGUACCUUUUGUAUAAUGGGUCAUCGACUUGGUCUAUCUAGCAAGCUUAAGCCGGUAGGUGUAGGCGCAGCGAAAGCGAGUCUUAAUAGGGCGUCGAGUUAGAUGGAUCAGACCCGAAACCGAGUGAUCUAGGCAUGACCAGGAUGAAGGUAAGGUAACACUUACUGGAGGUCCGAACCCACACCUGUUGAAAAAGGUCGGGAUGAGUUGUGCCUAGGGGUGAAAGGCCAAUCAAACUCGGAGAUAGCUGGUUCUCCGCGAAAUCUAUUUAGGUAGAGCGUCAUCCGAAUACCCCGGGGGGUAGAGCACUGGAUGGGUAAUGGGGCCCCACAGGCUUACUGAUCCUAACCAAACUCCGAAUACCCGGGAGUACUAGAUGGCAGACACACGGCGGAUGCUAACGUCCGUCGUGAAGAGGGAAACAACCCUGACCUCCAGCUAAGGCCCCCAAUUCAUGGCUAAGUGGGAAAGCAAGUGGGACGACCAAAACAACCAGGAGGUUGGCUUAGAAGCAGCCAUCCUUUAAAGAUAGCGUAACAGCUCACUGGUCUAAUCAAGUUGUCCUGCGGCGAAGAUGUAACGGGGCUCAAGCCAUGAGCCGAAGCUGAGGAUGCCGUAAGGCAUGGUAGCGGAGCGUAGUGUGACAUAGCACUUUGCUUCUUCUAUCGCAUCGGUACGGACAGCGCGGGCAACCGCGCUCAAGUAGCGAAGCGGUAGCGCAAGCAUAAGUGCUUUCUGUGAAGCCGGCGCGUGAGCGAUCCGGUGGAGAGAUCACUAGUGAGAAUGAUGACAUGAGUAGCGACAAAGAGUGUGAGAGACACUCUCGCCGAAAGUCCAAGGGUUCCUGCUUAAAGCUAAUCUGAGCAGGGUGAGCCGACCCCUAAGGCGAGGCCGAAAGGCGUAGUCGAUGGGAACCAGGUUAAUAUUCCUGGGCCAGGAGGAUGUGACGGAUUGUGGCGGCGUGCGGGUCUUAUCGGAUUGACCCGUAUCCAAGACAGUUCCUGGAAAUAGCCCUCCAUGAGAUCGUACCCUAAACCGACACAGGUGGACUGGUAGAGAAUACCAAGGCGCUUGAGAGAACGAUGUUGAAGGAACUCGGCAAAAUACCUCCGUAAGUUCGCGAGAAGGAGGCCCGGUACAAGAGUGCCGGGGGCACAAACCAGGGGGUGGCGACUGUUUAUUAAAAACACAGGGCUCUGCGAAGUCGCAAGACGACGUAUAGGGUCUGACGCCUGCCCGGUGCCUGAAGGUUAAAAGGAGGGGUGCAAGCUCUGAAUUGAAGCCCAGGUAAACGGCGGCCGUAACUAUAACGGUCCUAAGGUAGCGAAAUUCCUUGUCGGGUAAGUUCCGACCUGCACGAAUGGCGUAACGACUUCCCCGCUGUCUCCAACAUCGACUCAGCGAAAUUGAAUUGCCGGUCAAGAUGCCGGCUACCCGCGGUUAGACGGAAAGACCCCGUGCACCUUCACUACAGCUUCGCACUGGCAUCAGACACAACAUGUGCAGGAUAGGUGGUAGGCUUUGAAGCAGGGACGCCAGUCUCUGUGGAGCCACCCUUGAGAUACCACCCUUGUUUUGUUUGAUGUCUAACCGCGGCCCGUUAUCCGGGUCCGGGACCCUGCGUGGUGGGUAGUUUGACUGGGGCGGUCGCCUCCUAAAGCGUAACGGAGGCGCGCGAAGGUUGGCUCAGAGCGGUCGGAAAUCGCUCGUUGAGUGCAAUGGCAGAAGCCAGCCUGACUGCAAGACUGACAAGUCGAGCAGAGUCGAAAGACGGCCAUAGUGAUCCGGUGGUCCCAAGUGGGAGGGCCAUCGCUCAACGGAUAAAAGGUACGCCGGGGAUAACAGGCUGAUACUGCCCAAGAGUCCAUAUCGACGGCAGUGUUUGGCACCUCGAUGUCGGCUCAUCUCAUCCUGGGGCUGGAGCAGGUCCCAAGGGUAUGGCUGUUCGCCAUUUAAAGAGGUACGUGAGCUGGGUUUAGAACGUCGUGAGACAGUUCGGUCCCUAUCUGCCGUGGGUGUAGGAUACUUGAGAGGAGUUGCCCCUAGUACGAGAGGACCGGGGUGAACGAUCCACUGGUGGACCAGUUGUCGUGCCAACGGCAGUGCUGGGUAGCUAUGAUCGGACAGGAUAACCGCUGAAGGCAUCUAAGCGGGAAGCCCCCCUCAAAACAAGGUAUCCCUGAGGACCGUGGUAGACCACCACGUCGAUAGGCCAGAGGUGUAAGCGCAGCAAUGCGUUCAGCUGACUGGUACUAAUGGUCCGAUAGGCUUGAUU
rnacentral:rRNA from 1 species